UACGAGGGGUGCAAGCGUUGCUCGGAAUUAUUGGGCGUAAAGGGUAGGUAGGUGGUCUCGUUUGUCUGGGGUGAAAGCCCCGAGCUUAACUUGGGAACUGCGCUCGAAACUACUUGGCUAGAGUGUGGCAGAGGGAGGUGGAAUUCCACGUGUAGCGGUGAAAUGCGUAGAGAUGUGGAGGAACACCGAUGGCGAAGGCAGCCUCCUGGGCCAACACUGACGCUCAUGCACGAAAGCGUGGGGAGCAAACAGG
rnacentral:rRNA from 1 species